rnacentral:rRNA from 1 species
GGCGGCGUGCCUAACACAUGCAAGUCGAACGAGGUAGCAAUACCUAGUGGCAGACGGGUGAGUAACGCGUGGUCAACCUACCGUUGAGUGGGGGAUAACUAGCCGAAAGGUUAGCUAAUACCGCAUACGAGUCUCGGGGGCAUCCCUGGGCCUUAAAAGGAGCAAUCCGCUCGAUGACGGGACCGCGUCCCAUUAGCUAGAUGGUGGGGUAACGGCCUACCAUGGCACCGAUGGGUAGCUGGUUUGAGAGAGCGACCAGCCACACUGGGACUGAGAAACGGCCCAGACUCCUACGGGAGGCAGCAGUGAGGAAUUUUCCGCAAUGGGCGAAAGCCUGACGGAGCGACGCCGCGUGUGGGAAGAAGGCCUUCGGGUCGUAAACCACUGUCGAAGGGGACGAUAAUGACGGUACCCUUGGAGGAAGCCCCGGCUAACUACGUGCCAGCAGCCGCGGUAAGACGUA